rnacentral:rRNA from 1 species
UACGUAGGGUGCAAGCGUUAAUCGGAAUUACUGGGCGUAAAGCGUGCGCAGGCGGUUAUGUAAGACAGAUGUGAAAUGCCCGGGCUUAACCUGGGAAUUGCAUUUGUGACUGCACGGCUAGAGUGUGUCAGAGGGGGGUAGAAUUCCACGUGUAGCAGUGAAAUGCGUAGAGAUGUGGAGGAAUACCGAUGGCGAAGGCAGCCCCCUGGGAUAACACUGACGCUCAUGCACGAAAGCGUGGGGAGCAAACAGG